ACGGAAGGCAGCAGUGGGGAAUAUUGCACAAUGGGCGAAAGCCUGAUGCAGCGACGCCGCGUGAGUGAAGAAGUAUCUCGGUAUGUAAAGCUCUAUCAGCAGGGAAGAAAAUGACGGUACCUGACUAAGAAGCCCCGGCUAACUACGUGCCAGCAGCCGCGGUAAUACGUAGGGGGCAAGCGUUAUCCGGAUUUACUGGGUGUAAAGGGAGCGUAGGCGGUUUGGCAAGUCUGAAGUGAAAUGCGGGGGCUCAACUCCUGAACUGCUUUGGAAACUGUCGAACUAGAGUGCAGGAGAGGUAAGUGGAAUUCCUAGUGUAGCGGUGAAAUGCGUAGAUAUUAGGAGGAACACCAGUGGCGAAGGCGGCUUACUGGACUGUAACUGACGUUGAGGCUCGAAAGCGUGGGGAGCAAACAGGAUUAGAUACCCUGGUA
rnacentral:rRNA from 1 species